rnacentral:rRNA from 1 species
AUGGCGGCCUGCCUACAGAAAGGUUCUGAUGUUCCUGAAACUGUUGAUGUUGCUGAGCUCAUGGUUGGGCAUUGCUCUAUUGUUGAGGAAGACGUGUCGUGUGGCGCUGAUGUCGGUGUUGUCCCCGUGAAGAAGAAAAUCAAGAAGACCGCUACCAGGAAGAAUUUAGUUGGUGAACUUACUCCUCGAAGGAGCCCACGUGUUUCAAGGACUGCAGAACUUGCUGAAGAGGAAGGGCUAGCACUUGGUGGUAUACCACGCCGUAGUCCUCGUGUGCUUGCCACUGCGGCGCCUACGCCUUCUUCGCUUGGUGCUGGUGCAUCUGGUAAGGGGAAGAAAUGCGGCAUUAAGCGCAAGGUUGCACCUGCAAAGGUCAACAAGGGUGUGAAGAAGCGUUCUCGUGUUAAUCCAGAGGACAAGGAUGAUGUUGAUUUCAAUGCUGAUGACGAGGAUGAUGAUGAUGAUGAUGAUGCUGUCGCUAAUCAGGUAUGA